UACGAAGGGGGCUAGCGUUGUUCGGAAUCACUGGGCGUAAAGGGCGCGUAGGUGGCCUGGUAAGUAGGGGGUGAAAUCUCGAGGCUCAACUUCGAGGCUGCCUUUGAUACUGGGUAUCUUGAGUAUGGAAGAGGUAAGUGGAAUUGCGAGUGUAGAGGUGAAAUUCGUAGAUAUUCGCAGGAACACCAGUGGCGAAGGCGGCUUACUGGUCCAUUACUGACGCUGAGGUGCGAAAGCGUGGGGAGCAAACAGG
rnacentral:rRNA from 1 species